rnacentral:rRNA from 1 species
UACGUAGGGGGCAAGCGUUGUCCGGAUUUAUUGGGCGUAAAGAGCGUGUAGGCGGUCAAGCAGGUCAGCUGUGAAAACUCGAGGCUCAACCUCGAGACGUCGGUUGAAACCGCUUGGCUAUAGUCCGGAAGAGGAGAGUGGAAUUCCCGGUGUAGCGGUGAAAUGCGCAGAUAUCGGGAAGAACACCCGUGGCGAAGGCGGCUCUCUGGGACGGUACUGACGCUGAGACGCGAAAGCGUGGGGAGCGAACAGG